UUGACGACAAAUUUGUUCGGGUAGCUGAUGUUUCUUCUUUAUGAAACUUGAUAAAUCACCACCGUCGCAGUAUUCCAUCACGAUGUAAAUGUGCCUGCAUCACGUCAGACGAGGUGUGGGAGAACCCGAAAAUAUCGAGAAGCCGAUGAUCGAGACGGGUUCAAGAAAAUGUUAAGAUUCUUGACGAUGUUCGGGUUUUUCGAUUAUGUCAAGAUGCCUGAAAAUGUUCUAAAUUCCUCCAAGAGAUUUAAACACUCUCGCAAAUCACAUUAUAAAAUUUAUUCAUUUAUUCUCAUUUUUAAUUAUUUAAUGGUUGGAAAAUGAGGCGGAAAUAAUAUAGCAAAUAAGUAAUAAUUAGCCUUUUCACACGAAGACAUAAAAUAUAAUUUUUACCCCCGAAUUUUUUUAAGUGAGAAGGAAUGGGUAAAGGUGAAAUAUAAUUAUAAACGAAGUUUUUCGUCCACUCCAUUUAAUGUGCGGAAGGUUUUAGCGAUACAAAAUGACACGUGCGUUACAAUCAACUCAACUUACGGUCAUGACAAAGAGACCCUUCGCGUAGGUCGGCUUAGCACUUACUGACUAAUCCUGAAAAUCCGAAAUUUCGAAGAACAUGGAAAAGAAGAGAGAACAAAGAGAUAGUCGAAGAUGGAUGAGGGUAAACGGAAAAAUUAGGAAAAACAGACAAAGCAUCAUAAAAAAUGACCUGGACCAUCGACUUAGAAGUGGCUUGGGCAGCAGAUAAACCUGACGGUUGAAAACUCCAACAUCUGGCGACCAAAGAUUUCAAAUGGAAAACAAUAAAACGAUAAAGCAAAACGUGGUGGAAAAGUAAAAAAGAAAAAACAGAAACAGAAGAUGGCGUGAAAAAAACGAUUCGUCAUAGGAGAAUCUCGGACAUUUUCGAGCACCCGUCCUGAUCCCGAGAAAAAUUCUCGUCCUGACCCAAUAAAUAAUAAAAUUCUUUGUUAUUUACUUUUAUGUUUACUUAUUACUUAUAUGUAACAUAUUUACAAUACUAUUUGUAAAAGUUCAUAAUUUCUUACUUGUUCCGAGAAAUAAAAUUAGCGUAAAGAUUA